rnacentral:rRNA from 1 species
AUUGAACGCUGGCGGCAUGCUUUACACAUGCAAGUCGAACGGCAGCACGGGUGCUUGCACCUGGUGGCGAGUGGCGGACGGGUGAGUAAUGCAUCGGAACGUGUCCUAAAGUGGGGGAUAACGCAUCGAAAGAUGUGCUAAUACCGCAUAUUCUCUGAGGAGGAAAGUAGGGGAUCGAAAGACCUUAUGCUUUUGGAGCGGCCGAUGUCUGAUUAGCUAGUUGGUAGGGUAAUGGCUUACCAAGGCGACGAUCAGUAGUUGGUCUGAGAGGACGAUCAGCCACACUGGGACUGAGACACGGCCCAGACUCCUACGGGAGGCAGCAGUGGGGAAUUUUGGACAAUGGGCGCAAGCCUGAUCCAGCAAUGCCGCGUGAGUGAAGAAGGCCUCCGGGUUGUAAAGCUCUUUCAGUUGAGAAGAAAAAGUUGUGACUAAUAAUACUGGCUACUAAUGACGGUACCUGAAGAAGAAGCACCGGCUAACUACGUAG